GCAAACUUGGUCAUUUAGAGGAAGUAAAAGUCGUAACAAGGUUUCCGUAGGUGAACCUGCGGAAGGAUCAUCAAUAGUCCUAAACACCUCUGUAUGUGAGUUGUAGUUGUGUGUGUUGUGUGUCACUACAUACGCACGCGCUCUCUCACAUCACUCUUGUGUGCACUGUUGUCUGUGUCUUGGUGGACUGGGAGUGUUGUAAUAGUUGUCACAUACUACUACUACUACGUUUUAGGGUGGCACGCCUCCCAGCCUGCCGUUACCACAUAUAUUAUAUAUAUGUGUCAAUAUCUGACAAACUCUGUGAUAUUUUAUCAAGUUGUGUAAAUCCGUAUUGUGUGAUGUGUGUGUCGUUUUAUCAAACACAUACACUCACUACUAUAUACAAUAUCAUUACAACUUGCAGCGAUGGAUCUCUAGGCUCUGGCAUCGAUGAAGAACGCAGC
rnacentral:misc_RNA from 1 species